GUGGGGAAUUUUGGACAAUGGGCGCAAGCCUGAUCCAGCAAUGCCGCGUGCAGGAAGAAGGCCUUCGGGUUGUAAACUGCUUUUGUACGGAACGAAACGGCUCUGGUUAAUACCUGGGGCUAAUGACGGUACCGUAAGAAUAAGCACCGGCUAACUACGUGCCAGCAGCCGCGGUAAUACGUAGGGUGCAAGCGUUAAUCGGAAUUACUGGGCGUAAAGCGUGCGCAGGCGGUUUUGUAAGACAGGCGUGAAAUCCCCGGGCUCAACCUGGGAAUGGCGCUUGUGACUGCAAAGCUGGAGUGCGGCAGAGGGGGAUGGAAUUCCGCGUGUAGCAGUGAAAUGCGUAGAUAUGCGGAGGAACACCGAUGGCGAAGGCAAUCCCCUGGGCCUGCACUGACGCUCAUGCACGAAAGCGUGGGGAGCAAACAGGAUUAGAAACCCUGGUAGUCC
rnacentral:rRNA from 1 species